AGAGACAGUUGUCAAGUGUUUUCUAUAAUUCAAGGUAGGAAAUUUUCUUGAAAGAUCCUAUACUGUAUUGAUCAAAGUAUAAAUCAGAAUAUGACACAGUAAUUUUCUAAAGGUAAUUCAAUUAUAAGAAUAUGUAAAGUUUUUAAGUUCUUAUGUUGCUUACUGAGUUUUACCUAUUACAGUUCUUUAUUGUAAGAUUUACUAAUGAGAAAAUGUAUAUGGAAUUUAGAGACCUGAGAAAAUUAACCUGAAAUAUAUCUGUCAGUGAAAGAUUUAUAAGGAUUAUGAUAAUUAACAUAUAAUUUUAACUCUGAAAUUGCAGUAUGUAAGUUGGUUUUAUGAAGUUUAAAUUGAAGAAACAUUAACUGCUUGUUUAUAUAUGGGUACAUAUGCCUCUUGUUUUUCUAACUGAAAAGGUAACAGCUAAUUAUAAUAAGAAUGUUAAUUAUACAUAGGGUACAACAAUUUCAUAGUUAAGGAAUAUUUAUCAUUGUUAAAAUGUUGAUUAUUUUAUAGUUCUCUUUGAUAGAAAUCAAGAGAUGUAUACCUGUUUAUCAAUCACUACAUGACAAAAUCUAGUAUGAAUGAAUGAUUUAUGUGAAUAGAGAAUUAUCUGGAAGAAUAUAUUAAAGUUUUGAUACUUACAGAUUAGAGAUUUGAUAGAAAGACUGUUCCUGUCUGUUUGAAUUUUCAUACUGGUAUUUACAAAUAAGCAUUUAAACAACAAGGAAAUGUUAAAGAGAUAGCUUGUGCCUGUUUGCAUCCUUGCCUAUCAACAUCAAGGGAGCAUCUGGUUGUCUUUUCCAACUUUGUAUUCCUAGCAGCCCAUAUAAAUGAUUUUUGAAUGAUUUCGUGAAGAGCAUGCAACUUAGACACUAGUGCAGCAGAAUCUUACAGUGAAAUAUAGUAUUGGAUUACCCAAUGAAAGAAGGAAGAAGGAAUUUCUGGUAGGUACCAAAUGAAUUUAUUUUGGUUAACAAACACGAGUUUAAAAAACAGUACCUGAGGAUUUCUAUAAAGAGUACAUGGACGUAACCUGUGGAUUUUAACUAGAUUAUGAUGUUCGUGAUAUCUCAUUUGGGAUAAGUUGGAAGUUGCCUUUAAUAUGUAUGUGUUUUUUUGUGCUGGGGAUUGAACUCAGAACCUCACACAUAAUGAACACAUACUGAUACACAUUCCCAGCCCCCUUGAUUAAUUUUGAUGUAAAUAGAGCAGUAGUUUGCUUAUAUUUAUGUGGUUGAUUCUGCUGCAAAGAUAUCAAGUAGGUUUUUAUAGACAAAAUUAGCAGGGAAAAACAUUGAAUAAAUUUUCAGCAUGUGUGCUAAAGGUAUGGUUAAAAAUCAUGUAUGGUAAAUGGAAGUAGCUCAUUCAUAAUGCACUUGCCUACAUGCAUGAAAUCCUAGUUUCCAUCCUCAACAACACUAAUUUUUUUUCAAAGAGAAAAAACAUUGAAAUGUUGAAGCUGUGUGAGAAGUCAACAGCUGGUUUAAUUUAAUUUUAUCAAUUUACUAUGCUUUUAUAGCCUGUUUCUUAAUUUGUACAUUCUGAUGUUUCAUUUGUAUCCAACCCUUACUAUAUUGAUACCGUAUUUUCAGGUUGUUCACAAUGAUCGACCUACUUGAGGUAAUUUGAGUGUAAUCUGUGAAAUAAUCUGGAGUAUCCUUCCUUCCUUUGGAGUUCCUUAAUUUAUAGAAAUUUCUAUAAAAAUUUUCAACGUGGAUAUCCACUUACCUGAUACCUUAGCUGUUUCAUUGGACUGGUAAUUUCUGAGGACUUUACACCAUUGUUUCUACCACCUGCUUCAUCAAAACUAAAAUAUGAUUAUCUAUUUAGAGAACCUGAUACAGAAAGCUCAUUUCUGGAAAGAGACCUAAAUUACUAUUAGUAAUAAUGCUAUUAAGGAUACUUGUUUUCAUUGUUGUUAAUGGACUAACUCUCAGGAAUUGGAAUGACGGAGACAUUACUACAAGAGAACUUCAGUAUGGAUUCAUCACUGCCUGCAUAAGUAUGAAGUGCACAUAUUUGUAAUUGUCAUUUAUCACAGAUUAAACUUGAAACUGAUUUUAAAAAUAAACUUUUAAAUGACUCAAAAGGACAGAUAUUUUUUGUUGCUUUAGUCAGUAUAUAGUUAGACUGUAUAGCCCAGUCUGGUCUUAAACUCGUGAUCUUCCUGCUUCAGCCUCCUGAGGGUUGGUGUUACAGUUGUAAGUCACCAUUUACAGGUAGGACUGACAUUUUUGAAGGAAUAUUAAUAAUUUUAAGUGCCUUUUUAAAUAUUAAUCUACAGUGUUGUUAGUGAUUUAUGGAGUUUUCUGAUCAUACUUAGGAUAUUUUUCACACAAAUUGACACUGAUGUAUUUGAUGCUUUAGCUGUAGAAUCUGUAGUACACAUGCUUAUGUAUAAACUUAUAUUUUUAAUUUGGAAUUGUUUCUUUGGAUUAGAAUUGCCACAGCAAAGUAUACACAAAAAUCUGUAAUUGAGUAAGUUUUCUCCUAAUUGGAUUAAGUUCUUAUAAUGCUUGAAUCUCAGCUAUCUUCAUUUACAAAACUGUAUAGGUAAUAGUAUAUUCUUAAUCAUUAAUUAUAUAUUAUUUCUGUU